GACGAACGCUGGCGGCGUGCCUAAUACAUGCAAGUAGAACGCAGUUGCGAACGGGUGAGUAACGCGUAGGUAACUGCCUCAUAGCGGGGGAUAACUAUUGGAAACGAUAGCUAAUACCGCAUAUUGUGAGAUGGACCUGCGUUGUAUUAGCUAGUUGGUGAGGUAAAGGCUCACCAAGGCGAAGAUACAUAGCCGACCUGAGAAGGGUGUCGGGCAAACUGGGACUGGGAACCGGCCCAGACUCCUACGGGAGGCAGCAGGAGGGAAACUUCGGCAAUGGGCGGAAGUCUGACCGAGGAACGCCGCGUGAGUGAAGAAGGGUUUCGGAUCGUAAAGCUCUGUUGUUAGAGAAGCGGUACCUAACCAGAAAGGGACGGCUAACUACGUGCCAGCCGCCGCGGUAAUUC
rnacentral:rRNA from 1 species